UUCCCUAUAAUGUCAUCACGCCUUCAUUAUUACUUCAUUGCGUUUAUCACAUUGUUUCCUAGUGAUUAAGAAUCACUUUUAACAGAGAGCGCCCUUUGGCCCCUCAGUGUCAUUGGAGUGGGAACAGUGUCAAAGAUGAUAAGUUCUUUACGUCACUGGCCGGUGAGUUCUGCUACUUUAAAUAGGUCAAGGAGGCUAUAAAAUGUCUGUUGCAAGUCAUCGCGCUACUUAACCUGCACUGCAUGGCGUGUACUUGAAGGUGUGAUUUAGAAAAAAAGAAAACUGCCAUGGUCCUUUAUUAUCCUGUGAUUGAGAUCCUCUUGAUGUGCGCUGGUAUCCUACUGUGGGCUUUUUGUUACCAUUUCGUAAGGAAGCGCAGAGAAGCAGAAAGAUUGUCCACGAUGCCGGCUAACUCUCCCUCUGUGUACGUCAUCCCCAUAUGUGAAGAAGAGCAGGUGGGAGAGGAAGACGAGGAAAUGAUGGACGUAUAUGAAGCUUAUUUUCAACCUCCUUACCGAGAGCCUCCCAUGUACUGCUCAAGGAAUGUCAGCCCUCCUCCAUACAGGUUCGAACCACCAUCCUAUCCAGACCCCCCUCCAUCAUACUCAGAUCUUCCACCUUACUCAGAGCGACCCUGAUCCUCCACCUCAUCGUUCAUACACUUCAAACAUCCUCAACUCUAAACAAACCGUACCUUUUUUUUUUACAUAACAUUCCUAUAGAAUCAAAUAAGGGUCACUUAGAGUUUGACAUCAUUUCACAAACGUGGUUGUAAAUAAGAUUUAAGAAUUAAAAUGUAAAAGCCUGGGUUUAAAUUCAGUCAUUCUUAACAUGUCUCUUAUUACAUAACAAAAAGCACAACCUAAUUUCACAAUAUCUUUUUGACCCUUAUUUGAGCCCAUACAGGUAACUGUUAACGUUAGUGCUUGUACGUGGUUAUAAGUUUCAUUUGGGACAUAAGUGUAUAUGAUUAAUCUACCUGUAAGCAAUCCACUGUGUGGAAAAGGAGAGACUGGGUUUGACUGUUUUAAAUACUAAAGUUUCAUACUCAACCUUGUUUAAACACUGCCAUAUGUACAAUAUGCAUACCUAAAAGAGAUUCAGUAUUUAAGUUAAGGCACUUGUUUACAUGCUUGAAUAUUACCAACUGUUUAACAUACAGUAUGUUAUUUACAAAAUAAAGAAAUGUAUAUUUGUGAAUACAAUGAA